GCCUAACUAUUUUUGCGAUGUGUUCCUAAUAUGUACUAUAAGUGUAUUGGGAACAUUUUGCAUUCAUAGUUUUGUGUC
rnacentral:pre_miRNA from 1 species